CCCAAAUGCCUUUCACCACAAUCUCCACUAUUAUUGAGAGUAUUCUUAAGCUUGAACUUCUCCACGCUGUGUUGCAGUGAAGUCAAUUCCUUUGAGAUGAGAUUAGAAACUGUUUUAUGGCCUGAUUCUUCUCCCAGGUGAACUUGCUGAGCUGGACUCAGGAACUGGGUGUGGGAACAAUGGAAAGCUUUUCUCUGCAUGACCACCCUACUCUAGGGGCUGUGCAUUCAGUGAUGGGAGGGGAGGAAACAGCCAGAGAUCCUCUCAGCUUGCCUGUCCUGUCACGGAACCACUGCCUCAUGAACCUAUGGGAAGUGCAUUCAGGACCCCAGUAUUUUCAGUACUCCAUCUCUCAUUAGCAAUCACCUGAAAUUUAGCCUCAGCAACGGAUAGCUAGGGCAGAAUGAGAAGUGUGGAAGACCUCCAGGGACUGAAGCUGCAGCAGCCUCAUGUUCUUGACUACAGCAGUUUGGAGUAGAGUCUCUACCUUGUUGAACUGAAUCAGCUACAAAACAUAAAAUACAUCUCAAAAAGAAAGAAAAAAACCCACAAGGUUUGGCAAAAGAAAGAAGAAAAAUAAAACUGAGUCCUCUGUCUUGCCUCAUCGCCUGGACUGGUCUUUGGACUCAAGCCAGGACUGACACCACCAUCAACCCCUUCUCUGCUACACAGGACUUCUGACUCAGACUAAAUUACAUUGUCAGCUUUCCUGUUUCUCCAGCUUCAAUAUGGCAUGUUAUAGGAUACCUCAGCCUCCAUAAUUAUCUACCAGAAGACUCUGAUGUAGGGGAUGACAGAGCCAACAGAUGCCUCCCUCAACCUAGUGAUUUACAUCCAUCACAUAAUCAAGAAAUAAGCUGUAUUAGUCCAUUUUCACACUGCUAUAAGAACUACCUGGGACUGGGUAAUUUAUAAAGAGAAGAGGUUUAAUUGACUCACAGUUCUGCAUGGCUGGGGAGGCCUCAGGAAACUUACAAUCAUGGCAGAAGGAGAAGCAGGCACAUCUUACAUGGUGGCAGGCAAGAGAAAGCAAGCAAGAGCAGAGAAAACCGCUUUAUAAAACCAUCAGAUCUCAUGAUAACUCACUCACCAUCACAAGAACAGCAUGGGAAAAGCCACCACCAUGAUCCAGCCACUUCCCACCUGGUCCCUCCCUUGACACGUGGAGAUUAUGGGGAUCAUAAUUUGAGAUGAGAUUUGGGUAGGGACACAGAGUUAAAUCAUAUCACAAGCUUUUGUUGUAUUAAGUAACUGAAAUUUUAGGAUUUUCUAUUUAUAUCACUUACCCUACCUUGAUUAAUAUAGUCAAUUUUGCAUCACUUAAGAAUCAUAAGCUUUUACCUACUCUGAUUUACAAACAAAUCUUGGUAAAUCAAUAUGUAUUAAUGUGCUAUUUUACAUACAAGAUUGAUCAAAUUUACACAUUUAAUAAAUGCCAGGUUCAAAAUUUGUACCCAAGUUUUUCUGAUUCCAAAUCCCCACAUUCUUUUUACUGCCCCACAUCACACAACUCCCAUACUUAUUUCAAUGGAAGAAGAAUUGAAAAGUGAGUUAAGUGUUGAUUUUUGCCAAACUAAGAUAACUAGAAAGAUUUUCUAGUUUUCAGCAUUAAGCUCUGAAUAAUAAGCCACCUAAAAAUAAAAUGCAAUCUUUAACAGAGCUGCACAUCUGUGAAUUAAAAGCACCAAUUUUUCUAUUCUCUUCACAUUAACACAAUUCAGUAUUUAUAGUCUCAUAUUUGGUUUACUUCUAUCAUAUAAAACCAGAUAAUAGCCAGUAAUGAAACGUCAUUUUCAUAGCUCUGAAGCAAACAGCAAAUAUCUCUAUUUUCAAUAUUUUAUGCUUAUGAUAUUUAGCAGAGGCUAUUUCAUUCAUUAAAGGGUACUCAUGUAUUAACAUAAAACAAAGUAAGGAGUACCACUCUCUCUUUCCAUGUAGAUGCAAUAUAGCAAAUCCAUUAAAAUGAGUGAUUUUUCUCCUUUAGCUUCUUAUGAACAUUUUAUAGUCAUUAGCACAUACUCUGAGUGCAUUGAAUAUUCUCUUCAAUACAUCUCUUUUCCUUGAGGUAUACUAUAUUAUUAACAAUGGUAAAACAUCUUUUUUUCUGUUCUCUUCUUUUUUAAAAAAAUUUUUUAAAUUAUACUUUAAGUUCUUGGAUACAUGUGCAGAACGCGCAGGUUUGUUACAUAGGUAUACACGUGCCGUGGUGGUUUGCUGCACCCAUUAACCUGUCAUCUACAUUAAGUAUUUCUCCUAGUGCUAUCCUUCCCCUAGGCCCCACGCCCUAACAGGCCCUGGUGUUUGAUGUUCCCCUCCCUGUGUCCAUGUG
rnacentral:lncRNA from 10 species